UGCCAAUGAGGAGAGCAAGCAUCCUGUCUUAACCCCUGUCCUAGCCCCAGAGCCAGUAAUGGUGAACCCACUGGGGCUAACAGGGAGAGAGGAUGAGAACUUGUUCCAGAAGGAACUGUCUGAGGUAU
ensembl:snoRNA SNORD22 Small nucleolar RNA SNORD22